UAAGUGGACUUCAGCCAUGAAAUGCAGGAUAUCCAUACUACAAACCCACAGACUCAAAGAAAAUGGGUAAUAAGGAGGACCCCAAGGAGGAUGUGUGAAGCUUACUUAGAAGUGGAAACAGAACAGUCAUCAGAGGAUACUCAAGAGAUGAAGAUAGAGCAGAGAUGGGAGGAAUGGCCAACCAAUGACUGGCCCAACCUAAGACCCAUCCCUCACUGUACACAACCCCUUACUCUAUUAAUGAUAUCCUGUUAUGCUUGUAGAUAGAAACCUAUCGUAACUGUCUCCUGAGAGGCUAUAUCCAGCAGUGGAUGGAAGCAGAUGCAGAGAUCCAAAGCCAAACAUCAAGUGGAGCUCAGGGAGUCUUGUGGAAGAGUGGGGGACAGAAUUGACCAAGCCAGAAGGGUGAAGGACACCACAAGAAGACCUAGAGUCAAGGGUCUCAGAGUCUGAACCAACCGACCAAUGAGCAUGCAGGGGGCAGGACUUAGUCCCCCUACCCCCAACAUUUGUAGCAGAUAUGCAGCUUGGUCUUUAUGUGGAUCACCUAACAAUUGGAGUGGGGACUGUCUCUGACUCUGUUGCCUGACAUUGGGAGUUAGCCAUGGAUUCACAGGCACACAGGCACACAGAAUGUAUACAGAAUAACUACCAUAUGGGUGAAAGAAGAGGAAAGCACCCUGAGGACAAGGAAGAACAUUUGUGAAAUGGCUGUCAUUUAAAAUCAAUCCUCAGUGUUUGAGGUACAGAACAAA
rnacentral:lncRNA from 1 species